rnacentral:rRNA from 1 species
CCUACGGGUGACAGCAGUGAGGAAUAUUGGUCAAUGGUCGGGAGACUGAACCAGCCAAGCCGCGUGAGGGAUGAAGGUACAGAGUAUCGUAAACCUCUUUUGUCAGGGAACAAAGGCGGGGACGUGUCCCCGGCUGAGUGUACCUGAAGAAAAAGCAUCGGCUAACUCCGUGCCAGCAGCCGCGGUAAUACGGAGGAUGCGAGCGUUAUCCGGAUUUAUUGGGUUUAAAGGGUGCGCAGGCGGUCUGUUAAGUCAGCGGUCAAAGCCCGGGGCUCAACCCCGGCCCGCCGUUGAAACUGGCAGUCUCGAGUGGGAGAGAAGUAGGCGGAAUGCGCGGUGUAGCGGUGAAAUGCAUAGAUAUCGCGCAGAACUCCGAUUGCGAAGGCAGCAUGCCGGCUCCACACUGACGCUGAGGCACGAAAGCGUGGGUAUCGAACAGGAUUAGAUACCCGAGUAGUC